rnacentral:rRNA from 1 species
GCAAGCCUGACGGAGCAAUACCGCGUGAGGGAGGAAGGCCUUUGGGUUGUAAACCUCUUUUCUUAAGGAAGAAGAUCUGACGGUACUUAAGGAGUCAGCAUCGGCUAACUCCGUGCCAGCAGCCGCGGUAAUACGGAGGAUGCAAGCGUUAUCCGGAAUUAUUGGGCGUAAAGCGUCCGCAGGCGGCACUAUAAGUCUGCUGUCAAAGACCGCAGCUCAACUGCGGAAAGGCAGUGGAAACUGUAGAGCUAGAGUACGGUAGGGGUAGAGGGAAUUCCCAGUGUAGCGGUGAAAUGCGUAGAGAUUGGGAAGAACACCAGUGGCGAAAGCGCUCUACUGGGCCGUAACUGACGCUCAGGGACGAAAGCUAGGGGAGCG